rnacentral:misc_RNA from 1 species
AACCAUAGAAACCUGCGGAGUACCUGCGGAGGGAUCAUUAUUGAAUAUUCUUGAUGGGUUGUAGCUGGCUCUUCGGGGCAUGUGCACGCCUGUCUUGAUUCUAUUCAUCCACCUGUGCACCUUUUGUAGUCUUGGGGUUGAGAACAGUCAACUAUCGGAUGGCUAUUAUAGUCUUUUCCGGACGUGAGGACUGCCGAGUGCGAGAGCAUACGGCUUUUCUCAAAGUGACUUGUAAACUCU